rfam:Ipomoea nil DNA, scaffold: scaffold1576, cultivar: Tokyo-kokei standard.
GCUGGGCUUGGUAGCGUGAGCUUGUAACCCGAGUGGGAGCAUUAAGAUGGUGGAACAGUUGAGCUUGCCCUGAAGGCUGGGCUUAGUAUGCUAUCUUCUGGCCUGCCCAUUCCAAGUAGUGAGUUGAUGGAGGAGUUUCCACGAAGGUGGAGGCUUCUGUGUCCUUAGAACGGAGGGUACUGCGUGAGGCUGGCUUCACAGAGCAGCGAAGACCUCCUCCUCUCUGCAGUGGAAGGAUAAUGGGCUGGUGCAUAUUCAGUCCACUAGUGCCUGAUUGGCUGUCCAAAUUGAACCACCAUCUUU